CUUAAGCAUAUCAAUAAGCGGAGGAAAAGAAACCAACAGGGAUUGCCCUAGUAACGGCGAGUGAAGCGGCAACAGCUCAAAUUUGAAAUCUGGCGCAAGCCCGAGUUGUAAUUUGUAGAGGAUGCUUCUAGGUAGCGACCGGUCUAAGUUCCUUGGAACAGGACGUCAUAGAGGGUGAGAAUCCCGUAUGUGACCGGCCCGCACCUUCUACGUAGCUCCUUCGACGAGUCGAGUUGUUUGGGAAUGCAGCUCUAAAUGGGAGGUAAAUUUCUUCUAAAGCUAAAUACCGGCCAGAGACCGAUAGCGCACAAGUAGAGUGAUCGAAAGAUGAAAAGCACUUUGGAAAGAGAGUUAAAAAGCACGUGAAAUUGUUGAAAGGGAAGCGCUCACAACCAGACUUCUGGGCGGUGUUCCGCCGGUCUUCUGACCGGUCUACUCACCGUCCCGAGGCCAACAUCAUCUGGGACCGCUGGAUAAGACCUCAGGAAUGUAGCUCCCCCUCGGGGGAGUGUUAUAGCCUGUGGUGAUGCAGCGCGUCUCGGGUGAGGUCCGCGCUUCGGCAAGGAUGUUGGCGUAAUGGUUGUCAGCGGCCCGUCUUGAAACACGGACCAAGGAGUCUAACAUCUAUGCGAGUGUUCGGGUGUCAAACCCCUACGCGUAAUGAAAGUGAACGGAGGUGGGAAGCGUAAGCUGCACCAUCGACCGAUCCUGAUGUCCUCGGAUGGAUUUGAGUAAGAGCAUAGCUGUUGGGACCCGAAAGAUGGUGAACUAUGCCUGAAUAGGGUGAAGCCAGAGGAAACUCUGGUGGAGGCUCGCAGCGGUUCUGACGUGCAAAUCGAUCGUCAAAUUUGGGUAUAGGGGCGAAAGACUAAUCGAACCAU
rnacentral:rRNA from 1 species